rnacentral:rRNA from 1 species
CAGCCGCCGCGGUAAUACGGAGGGUGCAAGCGUUAAUCGGAAUUACUGGGCGUAAAGCGCACGCAGGCGGUCUGUCAAGUCAGAUGUGAAAUCCCCGGGCUUAACCUGGGAACUGCAUUUGAAACUGGCAGGCUAGAGUCUUGUAGAGGGGGGUAGAAUUCAGGUGUAGCGGUGAAAUGCGUAGAGAUCUGGAGGAAUACCGGUGGCGAAGGCGGCCCCCUGGACAAAGACUGACGCUCAGGUGCGAAAGCGUGGGGAGCAAACAGGAUUAGAUACCCGCGUAGUCCCUGUCUCUUAUACA